UACAGAGGCCCCGAGCGUUAAUCGGAAUCACUGGGCUUAAAGGGUGCGUAGGCGGGCCAGUAAGCGCUUUGUGAAAUCCCACGGCUCAACCGUGGAACCGCAGGGCGAACUGCUGGUCUUGAGGAAGCUAGGGGCUGGUAGAACGAUAGGUGGAGCGGUGGAAUGCGUAGAGAUCUAUCGGAAUGCCGAAAGUGAAGACAGCCAGCUGGGGCUUUCCUGACGCUAAAGCACGAAAGCGUGGGGAGCAAACCGG
rnacentral:rRNA from 1 species